rnacentral:rRNA from 1 species
AACGAACGCUGGCGGCGGGCCUCAUACAUGCAAGUCGAGCGCGAAAGUCCGCAAGGAUGAGUAAAGCGGCGCACGGGUGAGUAACACGUGGAUAAUCUACCCUUUGGAUUGGAAUAACCUGUCGAAAGACGGGCUAAUGCCAAGUAAGCUCUCGGAAAUGUGAUGUUUCUGCGAGGAAAGAUGGUGCAAGCUAUCGCCGAAGGAUGAGUCUGCGUCCCAUUAGCUAGUUGGUGGGGUAAAAGCUUACCAAGGCAAUGAUGGGUACCUGGUCUGAGAGGAUGACCAGGCACGCUGGAACUGAAACACGGU